UACGUAGGGUGCAAGCGUUUGUCCGGAAUUAUUGGGCGUAAAGAGCUCGUAGGCGGUCUGUCGCGUCGGCUGUGAAAACCCGGAGCUCAACUCCGGGCCUGCAGUCGAUACGGGCAGACUGGAGUUCGGCAGGGGAGACUGGAAUUCCUGGUGUAGCGGUGAAAUGCGCAGAUAUCAGGAGGAACACCGAUGGCGAAGGCAGGUCUCUGGGCCACUACUGACGCUGAGAAGCGAAAGCAUGGGGAGCGAACAGG
rnacentral:rRNA from 1 species